rnacentral:rRNA from 1 species
AGCGAACGCUGGCGGCAGGCCUAACACAUGCAAGUCGAACGGACCCUUCGGGGUUAGUGGCGGACGGGUGAGUAACACGUGGGAACGUGCCUUUAGGCUCGGAAUAGCUCCUGGAAACGGGUGGUAAUGCCGAAUGUGCCCUUCGGGGGAAAGAUUUAUCGCCUUUAGAGCGGCCCGCGUCUGAUUAGCUAGUUGGUGAGGCAAUGGCUCACCAAGGCGACGAUCAGUAGCUGGUCUGAGAGGAUGACCAGUCACAUUGGGACUGAGACACGGCCCAAACUCCUACGGGAGGCAGCAGUGGGGAAUCUUGCGCAAUGGGCGAAAGCCUGACGCAGCCAUGCCGCGUGGAUGAUGAAGGUCUUAGGAUUGUAAAAUCCUUUCACCGGUGAAGAUAAUGACUGUAGCCGGAGAAGAAGCCCCGGCUAACUUCGUGCCAGCCGCCGCGGUAA